ACACAAUAGAACUGCUUACCUGUCUUAUCAAAUGUCAGAGAUAAUUUUUAGAAGCUGUUCCUGUAUCCCUGCAUCACAGGAAUACUUCACAUGCUACUACCUAAAGUAAAACUGUCACUGAAUUUAGGGGGGGGCAGAUCAGGCACGCACAGAAGCUUUGGAUUAUACCAAUCACUUAAUUUUAAGAGAUGCCAUAUGAUGCCAGAAUGAAUGAACAAUUAUAGCCAUGUUGAUCCUUAUUUGAAAAACAAAUGACCAGUUAUAGCCUAGCCAUGUCCUGUCCUUCCAAAAAAAACAAACAAAAAGUUGCUUUAGAAAGUGAAAAUGUAUUAAGACCCAGUGCAGACAAGAAUAAGCAAGACCAACCACCCAAGAAAGUCAAGCUGAGAUCAACCACAGGUUGGAGCUGGAGGUCUAUCCAGAGCCAGGUACCUUCAAAGUAUUUUUUACACAGGUCCCUAUUUCUGAUAAAGACACUGUAAUGUGAUACUCUCAUCUAUACCAGAUGGUACAAGUCCCUGAUGAAUCAUACGCCAGCUGCAGCCAGAACACAACACUCCAACUACACUGCUUCUUUCCUCUCUCCGUGUGCCCAGCACAGCAAGGCUAUUCUGAAACUCAGGCUUACGAACACUCAAAGCAGCAGAAAUGUGUCGGAGGAUCUAUAUAGUUGUCCAUAGCAAGUAUAAGAAAAAUGACAGCUUCCAGAGACACACACUUUGUGCUCUUCCUACUAGUUUCUUCAGGCAAAAAGAAAAUACAAAGACAGGUUCCUUAGUCUAUUGCCUAUGUUUGGUCCGAGAAGUUGGAAGGACAAUUUUCUCCAUCACACAAAUGGUCCAUUGCUGUUUUCCCUUGUUAUUUUUGCAUUAAAUUUAAGGGUGCCAUUUCAACGUCAGCCCAGUAUCACCAGAGACUUGCUUUGCUCUGCAGUACAGUGGGGCUCCUAACUGCCCCACCGCAGCACUAACGUCUGUGCUCAUGUGCCUACCUAAUGUAAUUAGCAACAUGUACAGCUUGCAAGGGAGAAAGAAGGUUGAUACUAACACAUGGUUAAUUAAGAUAUUACAGUUAGCUAUUUGCUAGGCUGGCUCAGGGGAGUGGUAAUAGGAGAUGAAGUCUUUCACUUUAAGUUCAGCAGUUUUUACCCCCAAAUUCCCAGGCAGUGAUCAGUAAUUCCUCAUUAACCCUGGCACAAAAUGAAUCUGACUCCACUCAGGCAUGUGGAUGACUUUUAAGCACGUCUGUCAACAAGGAGAGUCACUGUCUCUGACAAUUAAAUUUCAAAAUGAAGACCCCCAGUGCUGUGAGUGAAUAGGAAAAGUUGAUGCCUCCCUGGAGAAUCAUUUUAGCUUUUUCUUUUUUGUCGUGAGACUCAACAAGCUAUCAUGAUAUCAGCAGAUAAAUAUUAAAAUUCUGAAGAUUACACAUUGUUACAUAUUGAAUGGUGCCACUGAAAGACAAACAGCUAAUACUACUACAAUUAUAAAAGCUGUAAAAAACAUAAUUAAAAAACAAAACAAAACAAAACAAAACAAAACACAACCACACCUUAUCACCUUAUUUAUAAUGAAUCUGCAAGAGGACCCUAAAUUCACAGUCCUACUUGCACUGCCAAGAAUGUAAAGAAUCAUUGCUUCUUGACAUCAUUCUUUUGCUGAAGGGCAAUAACCUCCUCUGUAUGCAUUGCCUUAAUCAUGUCAAGUUGUGUCCCAUAAAUUUGCAUGUCUCCCAAGGAAGCACAGUGCAUUGCCAGCAGCCUGAUAGGCCAGAUCAAAACAAUUUCCUAAUGUAUGUUUACAUCAGUUUUGGCUCCUGAGCUGCUCUUGUUCUAGUUGUUCCCCAAAACAGAGCCAAUUCCUUCUCUUCAAACUCUGUUGCACAGGGCACAGGAGGCGGAAUAGGCAGAAUGUGCAUGGAUACAUUGUCCUUGCCCAAAGUGGGCAAUGCUUUCUAGAUUAAUGAACUGCAAAUCAGACACACAAAUGAAACCACAUGCUAGAUAUAAACCCAGUCCUCUGAGAUGUGCUUGUUGUCACAGUCAGAGGGAGAGGGAGAAGGAAGGUGGGGGAGUGGGGGUGGGGAGAGAGCGCACAUGUGUGUGAUGGGGGUGUAAUGAAUGCCAGCUACCCUCUCAACUCUCUGGGAUACACGGGGAUGACAAACUCUCUGAGGAACAAUUCCUUUGACUGUUUCGUUGAGGAAAGGAAACUUGUCAUGCUGCCAAGAAUAAAACUGCUUCUGGGCUUAGUUUUGAAUUUUAU
rnacentral:lncRNA from 1 species